rnacentral:rRNA from 1 species
AACGAACGCUGGCGGCAUGCCUAACACAUGCAAGUCGAACGAGACCUUCGGGUCUAGUGGCGCACGGGUGCGUAACGCGUGGGAAUCUACCCUUGGGUUCGGAAUAACUCAGAGAAAUUUGAGCUAAUACCGGAUGAUGUCGCAAGACCAAAGAUUUAUCGCCCAAGGAUGAGCCCGCGUAGGAUUAGCUAGUUGGUGGGGUAAAAGCCUACCAAGGCGACGAUCUUUAGCUGGUCUGAGAGGAUGAUCAGCCACACUGGGACUGAGACACGGCCCAGACUCCUACGGGAGGCAGCAGUGGGGAAUAUUGGACAAUGGGCGAAAGCCUGAUCCAGCAAUGCCGCGUGAGUGAUGAAGGCCCUAGGGUUGUAAAGCCCUUUCGGCGGGGACGAUGAUGACGGUACCCGCAGAAGAAGCCCCCGGCUAACUUCGUGCCAGCAGCCGCGGUAAU